GGAAGGGUGCCAGAGCGGCCGAAUGGGAUGGUUUCGAAAACCAUUGAGGGGUAACUCUCCGGGGGUUCAAAUCCCCCUCCUUCCU
rnacentral:tRNA from 1 species